UGAAUACGAGAUGCUACGGCGUCGAAGCAGUCUAUGUCAUACUUCCAAGAAAAGCUCGCACUGUCAUAAACAAAUAAUGCCUGUACCAUAACCGACACAGGUGGGUAGGUAGAGUAUACUAAGGGGCGCGAGAUAACUCUCUCUAAGGAACUCGGCAAAAUGACUCCGUAACUUCGGGAGAAGGAGUGCCUUAUUUAUAAGGUUGCAAUAACAAGAUCCAAGCAACUGUUUAUCAAAAACACAGGUCUCCGCUAAGUCGUAAGACGAUGUAUGGGGGCUGACACCUGCCCAGUGCCAGAAGGUUAAAGAAGUUGGUUAGCAUUCGCGAAGCUGAUAACUGAAGCCCUGGUGAACGGCGGCCGUAACUAUAACGGUCCUAAGGUAGCGAAAUUCCUUGCCGGGUAAGUUCCGACCCGCACGAAAGGCGUAAUGAUUUGGAUACUGUCUCGGAGAGGGGCUCGGUGAAAUAGACUUGUCUGUGAAGAUGCGGACUACCUGCACCAGGACAGAAAGACCCUAUGAAGCUUUACUGUAACUUGAGAUUGAAAUUGGACUUUACUUGCGCAGUAUAGGUGGGAGGCGUUGAUAAUAUUCUUGCGGGAUUAUUUGAGCCAUCAGUGAGAUACCACUCUUGUAAUGUUAGAUUUCUAACUUUGUAUCAUUAUCUGGUCAAAGGACAGUUUCAGGCGGGCAGUUUGACUGGGGCGGUCGCCUCCUAAACGGUAACGGAGGCGCACAAAGGUUUCCUCUGAACGGGUAGAAAUCGUAUCUAGAGUGUAAAGGCAUAAGGAAGCUUGACUGUGAGACUUACAAGUCGAGCAGGGACGAAAGUCGGUCUUAGUGAUCUGACGGUGCUGAGUGGAAAGGCCGUCACUCAACGGAUAAAAGUUACUCUAAGGAUAACAGGCUGAUCUCCCCCAAGAGUUCACAUCGACGGGGAGGUUUGGCACCUCGAUGUCGGCUCAUCGCAUCCUGGGGCGGUAGUACGUCCCAAGGGUUGGGCUGUUCGCCCAUGAAAGCGGUACGCGAGCUGGGUUCAGAACGUCGUGAGACAGUUCGGUCCAUAUCCGGUGUAGGCGUUAGAAUAUUGAGAGGAGCCUUCUUUAGUACGAGAGGACCGAGAAGGACAUACCUCUGGUGUACCAGUUAUCGUGCCAACGGUAAACGCUGGGUAGCUAUGUAUGGAGUGGAUAACCGCUGAAAGCAUCUAAGUGGGAAGCCCACCUCAAGAUAAG
rnacentral:rRNA from 1 species